CGGUGGACGGGGAGCUCUGAUCCGCCGGCGACAUCGGUCACCCACCGCGCGACGCGCGGUGCGCCGGCGGGGAGCAAGUGGUGAGACCGCCCCCUUGACGC
rnacentral:ncRNA from 1 species